GACUGAGAUGGGGGUCUGGAGGCGGGGCCAAGGCGGGAAGAGUGAGCCUCUUACACCAGUUUGCGGCCGAGGGCGGGGCGGGGCCGAGAGGCUGGUGAAGCCCCUGGAUGAUGGGCAAGACAGAACCUGCCUAAGAGAUGAGAUUCCUGAGAGCAGAGCAGAGUUUGAAUUCAGAGUCCCAGCUUUGCCAGGCCAGCAGUUAUAACUGCCCUUCUGUUGUUUGACCUCUGUGCCCUCUUGAAAAGGAAGAGAAAUAAAAUUAGAGAAUUGGUGACCCGGAGAGCAAGGCCUGGGAUGUUCUGCCCCAACUCUCUGCUUAAAUAUCACCUUCUCAGAGAGGUCUUCCCUAAGUACCUUGUCUAAAGGUGUUCUCUAAUUU